rnacentral:rRNA from 1 species
GAUCAUGGCUCAGGAUGAACGCUGGCGGCGUGCUUAACACAUGCAAGUCGAGCGAAGCGAAUCUUCGGAAGUUUUCGGAUGGAAGAGGAUUUGACUUAGCGGCGGACGGGUGAGUAACGCGUGGGUAACCUGCCUUACACUGGGGGAUAACAGUUAGAAAUGACUGCUAAUACCGCAUAAGCGCACAGGGCCGCAUGGUCCGGUGUGAAAAACUCCGGUGGUGUAAGAUGGACCCGCGUCUGAUUAGG